GACGAACGCUGGCGGCGUGCUUAACACAUGCAAGUCGAACGGAAAGGCCCUGCUUUUGUGGGGUGCUCGAGUGGCGAACGGGUGAGUAACACGUGAGUAACCUGCCCUUGACUUUGGGAGAACUUCAGGAAACUGGGGCUAAUACCGGAUAGGAGCUCCUGCUGCAUGGUGGGGGUUGGAAAGUUUCGGCGGUUGGGGAUGGACUCGCGGCUUAUCAGCUUGUUGGUGGGGUAGUGGCUGACCAAGGCUUUGACGGGUAGCCGGCCUGAGAGGGUGACCGGCCACAUUGGGACUGAGAUACGGCCCAGACUCCUACGGGAGGCAGCAGUGGGGAAUAUUGCACAAUGGGCGGAAGCCUGAUGCAGCAACGCCGCGUGCGGGAUGACGGCCUUCGGGUUGUAAACCGCUUUCGCCUGUGACGAAGCGUGAGUGACGGUAAUGGGUAAAGAAGCACCGGCUAACUACGUG
rnacentral:rRNA from 1 species